rnacentral:misc_RNA from 1 species
GCAAACUUGGUCAUUUAGAGGAAGUAAAAGUCGUAACAAGGUUUCCGUAGGUGAACCUGCGGAAGGAUCAUUAACGAGUUAUUGAACAGGUUGUAGCUGGCCUUCAGGGGCAUGUGCACGCCUGGCUCAUCCACUCUUCAACCUCUGUGCACUUAUUGUAGGUCGGCGGAAGGGUAAGUCUAAGCGAUUAGACCUGCUCGGAAGCCUUCCUAUGUUUUUACAAACGCUUCAGUUUAAGAAUGUAUCUCUGCGUAUAACGCAUUUAUAUACAACUUUCAGCAACGGAUCUCUUGGCUCUCGCAUCGAUGAAGAACGCAGC